CCACAGCCCCUGGUCGGCAAGUGACCAAUUAAAAGGACCAGCCUGUCAUUCAGGAACAAUUGACAGAGGUCUAAGAUGUGUGAGAGAGAAGACAAAGGAGGCAGAGAGAGAGAGAGAGGUGCUGGCCAGACUUGGUGACAAACAGGCCUGACACAGUGAAGACGAAGGUUAAAUACAGAGAAGAAAUAACUUGGAAACGAACAUCAAAGAAGGAUGGUGGAAAUGGUAUGCUUGAGUGUGUGUGUGAGUGUGUGUGUGUGCUUGUGUCAGGGUGUGUCUAUGUGUGUGUCUGAUGACAUGAGUGUGUGUCUGUCUGUGGGUGAGUGUACGAGUGUGUGUAUUAAAGAAGUUGUGAUGUAGUCUCAUCAGUAGCCUCUGUCCAAGGAGGAUGCUAACCCCAGCAGAGACUGACUAUCUGACAGUACCCACUCUGGGUCUGCCAGGCCCCAUGGGCUCCUGGGACUGCAGGGUCUCAGCCUGGGAUUGUGAUGGGCUGGAGGAAGCUUGGCUCUCCUGUGGAAUUCAGUCCUCUGCUUCCAGGACAAGCCCAGCCUGCACUUGGGGAUCCUUGGGUGACCGUUCAACGUGCUAGUAAAUAAACCUCAGAAGAGAACAAAGAAAGUGCUUUGGUCCCGUGUAAGAGCAGACUUAGAGAAGAUAGCCCUGAAGAUGUGUAUGCUACUCUCUGGGUUAGCUGUGCUGACUGCCUCCUCCUGAUCCCAUGUCCAGAUCAUAUCCUUAAUUAGUGUCUUCACUUGCAGCACGGUGUAUAGCCGGCGGCUGGUUUAGGAAUGUGUGUGACCCUUUUGUGAUAGACUCCUGCAAGUAAAUACAUCCAGAAAAAUCCAAAGAACUACGGCCAUGACACAGGAAUCAUCAAUACAUUUUCUGGCUGUGAUAAACAGAUAAGAAAGGUGAUAAAAUAGCUGAGCUUAGACAUGUGAUGACAUCUUUGGUGAUAACUUUCUAAAGAUGAAAGUAAGUAGCUAUUUUGAGUGGUAGAACGUUUUAUUUUUUCAACAUGUAGGGCCUACUGUGAUAGGUUCAAAAGGAAGAUGACAGUGCCUGAUUACACUACUGUGGGGACAUAGAGCAGCGUGUGGUGGGGGCUUGUGGCAUUCAACCACUACCCUGUGUGGCUUCCUGAUGGAGUUGAAGUCCAGACUUUCCCCCAAAGGGCAGCCACUGAGGUUAGCAAGAUGAAGGAGUUAGUGGUGAGCCGUUCCCCUGAGGAUCCAGGUACACAGGGGCAUGGACCUAGGAGGUGUGGCAGAAGGCAGUGGGAGCAGAUGUUGGGGGAACCACCGUGAGCACGGGACUAGUGUGCCACAGGGGUGGCCUGGAGAUUUCAAGAACAUGCCUGGUGAGGUGUGUGACUUGGAAAGAUGAGCAGGCAGCAGUUAAGAGGACUUGACUGGGGGACAGGUUGGGCAAGAUAAAGAGGCACCUGACUCGGCAGAGCUAUGAUGAGCGGAUUUGGAGGUAAUGGACUCCAGAGAGAGGAGUGAGCAGGCAGAUAGAGCAAAGUCAGCGUAAUGGCUUAGUUACUGUGUACUGUUGCUCACUAGGGAUCUAUGACACAAGAUGCCAGAAGGAAGUACAGGCCUGGAGGAAGAAACAGGUGGCAUUGGAACAUGCCAGAGCAUACACUGGCUAGGUCUGGUUUUGAGGACUCGUGGGAAUUUAUAUUAUUAGUACUGUAGACAGUGAACAGCAGAGUCUGUAUCAAGGGAAACUAUUUUCCAACAUAUUUUUGUGGUCUUACUUGGUGGCUUGACU
rnacentral:lncRNA from 1 species